rnacentral:tmRNA from 2 species
GGGGGCGUACCGGCUUCGACGUGGAUGAAUACGUUCGAUCGGCGCGUCGUGGCGCCCAUGGCCACGUAAAAAUGGGCAAACCUGCAACUGCGAACGACAACGACGCCGUUGCUCUCGCUGCCUAAUAAAACUAGGUAGCGACGGUGCUCGAAGUUUCCGUCUGUAGCUUCGAGACACCGCCACAAUCAGGCUGGACCUCCGGAUCCGUCAGCGCAUGGAGGUCGAGAAACAGCUGGCUUGUUGUUCCCGUAGGUCGGCCGUCAUCGGCGGGGACGAGACUUCAAAUGGCGUGCCUACAUGCGUAGAAGAUCGAUCUGAAGCUUUCGCGGACGCGGGUUCGACUCCCGCCGCCUCCACCA